CCACCCUUGGGGCUGCUUACAGAUUGCAGUGCUCGAAUCUUGGUUUUGAGCUCGUCAUUUGAAGGGUUCUGGGGAGCACGGAUCACACAGUGGCAGAGCCAGGAGCAACACCCCCACACUCUGAUUCUGCAGCCGCAACUCCGAACACCAGACCUGUUGUGUUGCCUGUGAGACACCCGCUGCAGAAGGCCUUGUAUAAUUCAGAAACUUGCCUAAUUUAAGACAAUCCCUGACAUGCCGCUCAGGUCCAAAGACCCGAGGACCAGAGGAGCUGAUGUCUGAAAGCUGCCAGGCUCAAGACCCCAGAGAAGCCCAUAUUUUGAGUCCGAAGUCCCGGAAAGACCUAUCUCCCAGCCCAGUCAGUCAGGUAAACUCCUCGGAUUUCUCUGUUGGACUCUGCCCAUCUCUUGGGAUGGUCUUCCAGUCUGGCAUCUCCACUCCCAACCUGGAUCCACUGCCUCCUCUCAGACUCCUGA